rnacentral:rRNA from 1 species
GCGAAUUCGCCCUUAGAGUUUGAUCCUGGCUCAGGACGAACGCUGGCGGCGCGCCUAACACAUGCAAGUCGAACGAGAGAUGAGGAGCUUGCUCUUCAAAUCGAGUGGCGAACGGGUGAGUAACGCGUGAGGAACCUGCCUCAAAGAGGGGGACAACAGUUGGAAACGACUGCUAAUACCGCAUAAGCCCACGGCUCGGCAUCGAGCAGAGGGAAAAGGAGUGAUCCGCUUUGAGAUGGCCUCGCGUCCGAUUAGCUAGUUGGUGAGGUAAUGGCCCACCAAGGCGACGAUCGGUAGCCGGACUGAGAGGUUGAACGGCCACAUUGGGACUGAGACACGGCCCAGACUCCUACGGGAGGCAGCAGUGGGGAAUAUUGCACAAUGGGGGAAACCCUGAUGCAGCGACGCCGCGUGGAGGAAGAAGGUCUUCGGAUUGUAAACUCCUGUUGUUGAGGAAGAUAAUGACGGUACUCAACAAGGAAGUGACGGCUAACUACGUGCCAGCAGCCGCGGUAAAACGUAGGUCACAAGCGUUGUCCGGAAUUACUGGGUGUAAAGGGAGCGCAGGCGGGAGAACAAGUUGGAAGUGAAAUCCAUGGGCUCAACCCAUGAACUGCUUUCAAAACUGUUUUUCUUGAGUAGUGCAGAGGUAGGCGGAAUUCCCGGUGUAGCGGUGGAAUGCGUAGAUAUCGGGAGGAACACCAGUGGCGAAGGCGGCCUACUGGGCACCAACUGACGCUGAGGCUCGAAAGUGUGGGUAGCAAACAGGAUUAGAUACCCUGGUAGUCCACACCGUAAACGAUGAUUACUAGGUGUUGGAGGAUUGACCCCUUCAGUGCCGCAGUUAACACAAUAAGUAAUCCACCUGGGGAGUACGACCGCAAGGUUGAAACUCAAAGGAAUUGACGGGGGCCCGCACAAGCAGUGGAGUAUGUGGUUUAAUUCGACGCAACGCGAAGAACCUUACCAAGUCUUGACAUCCCUUGACGAUGCUGGAAGCAGUAUUUCUCUUCGGAGCAAGGAGACAGGUGGUGCAUGGUUGUCGUCAGCUCGUGUCGUGAGAUGUUGGGUUAAGUCCCGCAACGAGCGCAACCCUUAUGGUCAGUUACUACGCAAGAGGACUCUGGCCAGACUGCCGUUGACAAAACGGAGGAAGGUGGGGAUGACGUCAAAUCAUCAUGCCCCUUACGUCCAGGGCUACAGGCGUGCUACAAUGGCCGGUAUAAAGAGAAGCAAUACCGUGAGGUGGAGCAAAUCUCCAAAGCCGGUCCCAGUUCGGAUUGUAGUCUGCAACUCGACUACAUGAAGUUGGAAUCGCUAGUAAUCGUGAAUCAGAAUGUCACGGUGAAUACGUUCCCGGGUGUUGUACUCACCGCCCGUCA